rnacentral:rRNA from 1 species
UACGUAGGGUGCGAGCGUUGUCCGGAAUUAUUGGGCGUAAAGGGCUCGUAGGUGGCUUGUCGCGUCUGCCGUGAAAGCCCGUGGCUUAACUACGGGUCUGCGGUGGAUACGGGCAGGCUAGAGGCUGGUAGGGGCAAGCGGAAUUCCUGGUGUAGCGGUGAAAUGCGCAGAUAUCAGGAGGAACACCGGUGGCGAAGGCGGCUUGCUGGGCCAGUUCUGACGCUGAGGAGCGAAAGCGUGGGGAGCGAACAGG